rnacentral:misc_RNA from 1 species
CUGUGGGGAUUCGUCCCCAUUGAGAUAGCACCCUUUGUUCACGAGUACCCUGUUUCCUCGGCGGGCGUGCCCGCCGCCAGGACCCCCCCAAAACCCUUUGCAGUGGCAGUACCUUCAGUUAACAUAAAUAUCA